GGAAUAUUCUCCUGGGCAUUUUAUACUCUCCAGUUCUAACAUCAUUUACAAGCCCCUUUGUGUGCAACUCAUAAGAGCUGCAUAUGUGCAAUCUCUAUCUCUAUGUAUUUAGAGUGGGAGAGAAAGAAGAACAAUGGAAGUUCCAAAGAAAACUUUAGAAGAAAAGUGUAUUCACUUAAAAACAUUAAUAGAUAUGAUGUUUUAAGAAAACAUACUGCAUUAACUAAAUGAAAAUAAAAUAAAGCUUUAGAAAUGCCAGAGUACCUUUAUUCUGAUUUCCU
rnacentral:misc_RNA from 1 species